rnacentral:lncRNA from 1 species
CUCGGCUGCAGCUGCACGGCCCUUGGCCCAACGACCAUCCACUUUGAUAAACCCCAUGCAUCGAAGAAUGUGGUCAUUGUAGGUGUCUGUGUUCGAUAACCUACAAACAAUCUCUCCAUCAAAGCUCACUCUAGACUCCCUAAAUAUCACAGUAAGAGCCAUACCAUAGGGCAAGGGAGCCUUGGAUCUGUUCAAGGCCUCUC